GUACUGCCACGGUCUGCCGCUGGUCUAUCCUGUAAAGGAGAGGCGGGAGGAAAGUCCGGGCAGCACAGGGCGCUCCACUUCCGAAAGUAGAAGCAGUUGGCGACAGCUGGAUAUGGGAGAAGAAAACAACCGCCCAAUUGAAGAUUGGGCAAGGGUGAGAAGGUGGUGUAAGAGACCACCAGCCGGCGGGUGAUCGCCGGGCUGUUCCAUCUGGAGGCUGCAAGUUCAUGUAAACCAUCGCCAUGAGAGGGUUGCCCGCCCGAUUCCGCCCCGGCGGAUGCGAUGGAGGGUAGAACGCUGGAGACGUGUGGCGACGCACGUAGUAGAUAAAUGGCAGACACUGGCAGCAAUGCCAGCACAGAACCCGGCUUACAGGGGCAGUGCUUUC
rnacentral:RNase_P_RNA from 1 species